CACACACACACACACACACACACACACACACACACACACACACACACACACAAGUCCACUACUACUCAAAGAGUUAUGAAUCAAGUUGAGACUUUGUCAUUCCAGCUUCCUCCUAUCCAGGACACCAGCAGACAGGAAGUCCUCCUCCUAAAGAGUCCCCACAUCUACCAGACCACUGGAGUGCUGUCUGCUCAUUUCCAGUUACCCCAGACCCAGUCCAGAGUUCCUCUACAGAUCUUCAUACUCACUGUCCAGUCCUGAAACAAGGUCCUGCCCCAAGGAGGGAUAUAAGGAAGUGUAUUGGAGGAAGAAGAAAUAUAAAGAUGAUAUUUUGGACAUCUGCUUGUGUCAGUUUUGAUAUUUGAUUUGGUGCUUGGCCUCUUUCCCCCCUUACUCUGAUUCUGAGCUUGUUUGAUCCCUCUAACUUGGCCACUGUUGUAAAUUUGUAUAUAGUGUGUAUGUAUUUGUGUGCUCUGGAAAGCAGGGAAGGGCUGCCGUUGAGUUUGGGCCCUGGGUUAUUUUCUCUGUGUUAUCACUUAGGGAGUUAAUGUAGUCUUAUCUUAGUAUAGGAUAUUAUCAGAGGAUGGUUGUGAUCCAUCAGCCUGUGGGUUAUGGUCCCAGCACACUUCCACUGCACCACUCUGCUCUCCUGCUAAUAGAGAAAUAAUAAAAUACCUACAAACUCAC